UUUGGUUUACCAGACAAACUAAUCAAUCUCUCAACAUUAUGCUGAGGGUGAUGGAUGGUACGGUUGCACAAUCGGGACUGGGGAUGCCUAAUGCAUGAAUUCGUGGUUGUUUUCUUUAUGUGAUUAGCUUCUGAUGGAGGUGAUUGAUAGGUUUGCUUGGAGGUGAUAGAUAUGUUCAAAGAAGCUGGCCAAUCAAACGCAGCCAAGCAACUGUUGAAUUCUGGCAAUAAUUAAUUACCUUAUUGAUGUCAA
rnacentral:lncRNA from 1 species